rnacentral:rRNA from 1 species
AUUGAACGCUGGCGGCAUGCUUUACACAUGCAAGUCGAACGGCAGCGCGGGCUUCGGCCUGGCGGCGAGUGGCGAACGGGCGAGUAAUACAUCGGAACGUGCCCAGCAGUUGGGGAUAGCUUGGCGAAAGCCGGAUUAAUACCGCAUACGACCUGAGGGUGAAAGCGGGGGAUCUUCGGACCUCGCGCUAUUGGCGCGGCCGAUGGCAGAUUAGCUAGUUGGUGGGGUAAAGGCCUACCAAGGCGACGAUCUGUAGCUGGUCUGAGAGGACGACCAGCCACACUGGGACUGAGACACGGCCCAGACUCCUACGGGAGGCAGCAGUGGGGAAUUUUGGACAAUGGGCGAAAGCCUGAUCCAGCAAUGCCGCGUGUGUGAUGAAGGCCUUCGGGUUGUAAAGCACUUUUGGCGGGAACGAAAAGGACUGUGCCAAUACCACGGUUCGAUGACGGUACCCGCAGAAUAAGCACCGGCUAACUACGUG